rnacentral:rRNA from 1 species
AACGAACGCUGGCGGCAGGCUUAACACAUGCAAGUCGAGCGCCCCGCAAGGGGAGCGGCAGACGGGUGAGUAACGCGUGGGAAUCUACCCAUCUCUACGGAAUAACGCACGGAAACGUGUGCCAAUACCGUAUACGUCCUUCGGGAGAAAGAUUUAUCGGAGAUGGGUGAGCCCGCGCUGGAUUAGCUAGUUGGUGGGGUAAAGGCCUACUAAGGCGACGAUCCAUAGCUGGUCGGGUAGGAUGAUCAGCAACACUGGGACUGAGACACGGCCCAGACUCCUACGGGAGGCAGCAGUGGGGAAUAUUGGACAAUGGGCGCAAGCCUGAUCCAGCCAUGCCGCGUGAGUGAUGAAGGCCCUAGGGUUGUAAAGCUCUUUCACCGGUGAAGAUAAUGACGGUAACCGGAGAAGAAGCCCCGGCUAACUUCGUGCCAGCCGCCGCCGUAAUAC